GUGAUUCUUUGUGCUGCUCCCAUCUCGCUUCAUCUCCUACCUCGCAUCUUCUCCUUUCUGUCACCGUGGUCCGCAUUAUGCCGUAUUCAUCCUCAAAAUUUCGUCGUCAUUACAUGUACCAGCGUCGUCAUCCUCCUCACAUGAGCUACCUACUCUCACCCAUGUCUUCCUUGAUGAAUAAUGAAAUAUUCGGUACAAAUUCUUUGCUAUUGUUAUUGUCGUGAAUUUCUUUUUGAUGAAUAAUGAAAUCUUACAAUUCUUUCAUUUAGGUUCCUGAUUUCUUUACUCUUCAGUUUGUCUGUUUAAUAAAAUUAUUUUAUAUUCCUUCUAAUGCAAUCAUUUUUUGUUCCUGCCACUGUAAUUUUAGUUCAUCAGCCACGACUUUUUAAGAAUCAUUUUUCUAUUUGUAAAAUUGUGAGCAGAGAACAUGACAAAAGCCAACCCCUCAUCCUCACAAAAGAGUAGUACAUCGCCAAGGUAAUUAUAUACUAAUUUAUACUUCUAUAAUUACAUAUUUUCAUGAUUAAAUGUUCAUGGAUAAUAUACCCAUUGAUGUUUGUUGUAUUAUAUAUUCCUUCUAUAUGAACAAAAUCCUUUGUUUUGAGUUGAAAUAUUUUGUGCCUCUUAUACGUCCUUUUGUAGAUGAAUUAGCAUGAAAUUCUUGCAGUGAAUAUCAAUGCUACAAUCAUUAAUGAAAUAUAUAUUAUUAUCUUACUGAGAUGCUAAUGGUUGUAGAAGCUUCAUCUCCAUUGUAUCAAGUAUAUAGUGAUAAAAGUUCUCAUUAAUUUCUUUUGAUAACUAUUAUUAUAUAAAACACUAUAAAAGACCAUGAACCGAAAGUUGAUUGAAGUGAUAUUUAGCUGCAUGCGACUAACAUGAAUAGUCUUUGUAAAGGUGUCCAUAAAGCUCUCUCUAAUUGAAGUAUUUCAAUUUUAGGAGAGGAAUAUGAGGCUAAAGAUCAUCAUGUUCCUAUCCUCAGUACUUUUUCUUUAACAAAAGCUACAAUGAUUAAGCUACAAUCAAUAUUUCAUAUUUAUUGAUAUAAUCAACAACCUCAUAUGGAUCAAUGAAGUCAAUCACAAUCAAUUUGACUUCUUGAAUCAAAUGACAAGGAUGGAGAAAGUGAGUUCAAGGGGAAUUGCAGGAAUUAUAUUUGGGAUCUUUUGCAUAUAAAAGAGGAUUUCAAAGUUAUUGAUGGAAUGACAUAUGACUUCAGGUAAUUAAAUUAGUGAGUUCACUUUUUUCAAUUUACUCUGUUAAUUUUGUUAAUUUGUCGUCUUAAUAACAUAUUUUGAAUGAUUUUGAAUGAGUGGCUUUAUUAUUAUAGCAACAAAUGGACCACCACUUCCUCAUAUGUAAUGCUAUUAGUAAUUACUUAUAUUUGAUGUUUUAUGUUGUGUUAUUGGUAUUAUGCUUCAGGAUGUACCACCGUAUCUUUUGUUUUUGAGGAAUGAUGGAAUCUUUUCACAUUGGAUCAUUGACCUACAGAUGUUAAUGUAAGUUUUGUAUUUCUACAUCAUUUUAUUCUAUUUAUUUCGAGUUGACUCAUUUUAAAAACUUGGAUGUUCACUUUAAAAACUCCCUAUAGUUUAUUUUUGAUAGAUUAGGUAACCAUAUGCAAUGAGCAGGAUGGAAUUACACAUAAAUGCAGAUUGUAUAAUUAUGUUCAUCACCAUUGGACCUAGGUUUGAAGUGUGAACCAUGGCAACAAAAAUUGUAGUUGGCAGUAGUAUAGGUUGUACAUAAAAUAGAAGUGGGAUAACAAACAUAAUAAUGGAAGUUCAUAUCUUUUGAGAAAAAAUUGAUUUAUUGGUGUGUUGUUCAUUUUGCUGGUGUAGGGGCUGUGUUGUAUGCAGUAAAAUAUGUUAACUUCUUUUGUUUCAUUGAUGCGAGACAUUAUUUUAUGUUGUUUUCCCAAUGACAUUGUAAAAAUAAUGUUUAUUUCUAUUUCUUUUUCUUAAUCACAUGUUUUUAUCAUUUUUUAUAUAAUUUGUCCCACUAUUGCCAAGUUCUUUUUUUUAAAAUUUUCCAUUUAUUUUAAGAUCCAAGUUCUUUUAUUAUGUGAAUUUGUUUUCCUUUAAAAUGUUGAUAAUUAUUUGGCGACGAAAAUGGUCAAAUAGAUGAUAUGGCGAGUUAAAGUGGACAAAACCAAAGGCCAACAAAACAGAAAAUAGUAGAAUAAAAAUAGAAUUUGGACAGGUGGUUGGCGAAGUGUUGUGGAGACACUCUGAGGUGGUGGUUGAUGAAGUGUUUUGGAGACACUCCGUGAGGUAGUUGUCGAGGAGUUUUAUUUCAGCUUAUAUGUCUUUUGGUCUAUGAAAAUUGAGCAUGUGUUUGUGCUAGAGAGUUCUUCUUCAUUUUUGUUUAAAACCUGAGCAAAGUUCUAGGAUGUCUUAAGUUUAGCGUAGUCUUUUGUAUGGUCUUACUUGAUUUCUUCCCUCUAUAUAUUCUUUUUUCUCAUAAGUAGCAACCACAUGGCAAUGAUUCUAACAACAUAUUCAAUGAAAUCCUUUGCUGCAGAUUCCUAAUAUAGGGUUUCAUAAUCAUCAUCAUCAUCGUCGUCGUCAUCUCUUUCAACUCGGCAAUAGCUCUCUUUUGUUGUUUUACCAUGAUUGUGCUGAGCUGUUUCAGGUAUAUGAUUUGAUAUAUGAUAACUGUCUCUUAAACAUAUUCUUUGCUAGGAUGUGCAUACCAAACAUAUUCAACAUAAAAUAUCUUAGAUGAUAAAAUGUGGGAUUGUUAAAGGGAAUCCUAUAAGUAACUUAGCUGAAGCAAAACCAAAUGGCCUCUAUCCAUUAAUGUCUGAUGAGGUGAGAAUAUGUUUAAGACUUUAGAUAAGGCUACAUUUUUGAAUCAAGAGUUUAGAAAAGUUAGUAUGAACAACCUAUAAUUGCUCCAUCAAGAGUUUCAAAAAGUCAUUGAUGUAAAUCAGAUUCCUAUAUAAUGGUAAGUAUGAAACAAAAAUGGUUUGUCAACAAAGCAAUAAUGCUAUGUUUCGACUUUGUUGUGUGUCGAUCGAUACUCGAUUGCUAACUAUUGUGACCUUUAAAAAAAUAAUAUAUUAGUUUCAGCUGACCAUUCAUGUCCAAGACAAAGAAACAAAACUAGCACAUGAUUUUUCAAGAAAUUGAAAAAUAUAUUGGGAUCAGAUGAAUGAAAGAAUUGAAUUGUCCAAUGGUUUAGAAUACACUAUAUUUAAUUCAAACCUUCAAUUUGGUAUUCAAUGGUCCACUGCAGUCUUAAGGAAUAUGAACUAGAAUGGAAUUAUGGUGUUUUGGCUGCAAAUCUUCCUCACUACCUAAUAUGAACUUGAAAUGAUCACUUUCUCUAAUAAAUUCAGACAAGGAAACACAAUAAGACAUCUUAUAAUAAGCAGACAUACAUAAUGUAUUUAUAGAAAUAGAAAACAUGUAUACACUUAGGUUCUAAACUAAAUUAGCCAAAGUUGUUAAAAGAGAAAUAGCUAGAGAGUGCAACAUUUUUUGUCGAAGAGGUACAAGUAACAUGUUUGUCUUACAUAUAAUCCUUCUACCUUGGCAGAAAAUGUUUGAAAUUUGUAGCAUAUCAUUCAUGUCUAGCAGUGCAUGUAAUAAUUAGAAAUUGCUAUAAUUUUCAGGAGGUCGGGUGCAACUUAAGGGUCCAGCUAUAGACACUGUCCUUGCAUCAAUGGAAUAUUUUCUUCAAAUUGGACAAGAGGUAAUAAACUCUAAACUUCAUGUUUGUGAUUUGUGGCCAUAUAAAUUAUAGCACAAUAAUAUAUCCUUAAGGAACUUACAAUUUUUCAGUUUAAAUUAGAUUUAGCAUAUAUACUUUCAUCAACUACCAUUUUUUUCUUUCCGUUUGUCUAUCAUAAGUUAUCGAGAUAACUAGAAUACCUAAUCAAAUAUCACUACAAAAGAAAGCAUAGUCAAUAGCUUUUCUAUUAAUUUAUAUAAUUGCAGUGCAAUGUUUUCGUCAUUGUUGUUUCAAUUCAGCACACUAAAAGAGUUUAAGGGGUACUAUUUUUUUAAG
rnacentral:lncRNA from 1 species